CUCAGGGUCAGCCCCGCAGAGCCCCGAACGAAUAGCCCGAUCUUUCUGGAGCGUUUCCUGAUGGGGUUUGCGAGGAACGUCUGCUGGGAGGUUAUUCUGAGAGCUGAUUGACAUAUGCAUGGGCAGAUGUUUUAUAAACUGCAUUCUCUACAAACUGAAGGGGCAAAUGUGAUGGAUUCCAAGGCUCCACAAGACAUUAUCAUGGUCAAUGUCCAGCAGACCAGAUAUGGGGUGAUCAAUUGUUUGAAGGUAAAAGUUGUCAAGAAUAACUUUAGACUUUGCUGGGAAUGCAAUAUCUUCUGACAAGGAGGAGUUGGCUGGAACAGCCUGGGCUCUGUACCUGUCCCUCAGAUGUCCUUUGGUGCUUUAGCCCAGUGACUCAUCGAUCUCCCAG
rnacentral:lncRNA from 1 species